rnacentral:rRNA from 1 species
AAGAUUAAGCCAUGCAUGUCUAAGUAUAAGCACUUAUACCGUGAAACUGCGAAUGGCUCAUUAAAUCAGUUAUCGUUCAUUUGAUAGUACCUUACUACUUGGAUAACCGUGGUAAUUCUAGAGCUAAUACAUGCUAAAAACCCCGACUUCGGGAGGGGUGUAUUUAUUAGAUAAAAAACCAAUGCCCUUCGGGGCUCUUUGGUGAUUCAUGAUAACUUAACGGAUCGCAUGGCCUUGCGCCGGCGACGGUUCAUUCAAAUUUCUGCCCUAUCAACUUUCGAUGGUAAGGUAUUGGCUUACCAUGGUUUCAACGGGUAACGGGGAAUUAGGGUUCGAUUCCGGAGAGGGAGCCUGAGAAACGGCUACCACAUCCAAGGAAGGCAGCAGGCGCGCAAAUUACCCAAUCCCGACUCGGGGAGGUAGUGACAAUAAAUACUGAUACAGGGCUCUUUUGGGUCUUGUAAUCGGAAUGAGUACAAUUUAAACCCCUUAACGAGGAACAAUUGGAGGGCAAGUCUGGUGCCAGCAGCCGCGGUAAUUCCAGCUCCAAUAGCGUAUAUUAAAGUUGUUGCAGUUAAAAAGCUCGUAGUUGAACCUUGGGCCUGGCUGGCCGGUCCGCCUCACCGCGUGUACUGGUCCGGCCGGGCCUUUCCUUCUGGAGAGCCGCAUGCCCUUCACUGGGUGUGUUGGGGAACCAGGACUUUUACUUUGAAAAAAUUAGAGUGUUCAAAGCAGGCCUUUGCUCGAAUACGUUAGCAUGGAAUAAUAGAAUAGGACGUGCGGUCCUAUUUUGUUGGUUUCUAGGACCGCCGUAAUGAUUAAUAGGGAUAGUCGGGGGCAUCAGUAUUCAAUUGUCAGAGGUGAAAUUCUUGGAUUUAUUGAAGACUAACUACUGCGAAAGCAUUUGCCAAGGAUGUUUUCAUUAAUCAGUGAACGAAAGUUAGGGGAUCGAAGACGAUCAGAUACCGUCGUAGUCUUAACCGUAAACUAUGCCGACUAGGGAUCGGGCGAUGUUUUUAUCUUGACUCGCUCGGCACCUUACGAGAAAUCAAAGUUUUUGGGUU